rnacentral:lncRNA from 1 species
AUGAGGACGAGGCCCCACGUGCUGGGGAGAGCUCGCCCACACGGCACAGUUCAGGACCCUGAGUGUGACUCAACCUCAGCACUGCUCCUUCAGCUGAGGAGCUCUGCUCCCAACGGCAGCAAAGCGCGAGUCACGGCGACGAUGCAGCCCGCUGUGCCCCGCCCCGUGUCGGUGCCGCAAAGGCCCCCACGGCUCAGGUUCAGCGGAGGGGAUCUUCUGGCGGCUCCCAAACCCCGUCCUGCUGUUCUCCUCACAGGUGCCCAGUCCUCUCCCAACCUGUCUAUAUAUUUUUUGGAGACAGGAUCUCACUGCGGUGCCCAGGGUGGGCACCGACUCCUGGACUCAAAUGAUCCUCCUGCCUCGGCCUCCCUGAGUAGCUGGGAUUAGAAGCGCUGGACUUGCUCGGCACUUUUGAGCAAGUUCAACCGCACUCAUCCUUGGGCUUAGCAAUUCAAAUCCUAGGUAUGGAGCUAAAAGGAAUAAACAGUAUCCCUGCCUACAGACGCGGCUCCAGAGGCUUCCGCAGAGUGCUCCUAGGACUCCAAACACAAGAUGCCGUGGGGUCAAGAAGACCCCGUCGGGAUGGGAGGGCACACACCUGUAAUCCCAGCCCUCGGGAGGCUGAGGCAGGAGGAUCGCUGGGUGUUCGAGACCAGCCUGGGCUACGAAGGGAGCUCAAGGCCAGCCUGAGCUGCAUAGCGAGACUGUGUCUCAAAAAUACCAAAAAAAAAAAAAAAGACGCUGUCACCUGUGGCGCGGAGCGUCCCUCGCUCCCGACGCACUGGAAGA